rnacentral:rRNA from 1 species
GGAUGCGAUCAUACCAGCACUAAAGCACCGGAUCCCAUCAGAACUCCGAAGUUAAGCGUGCUUGGGCGAGAGUAGUACUAGGAUGGGUGANAGGAUGGGUGACCUCCUGGGAAGUCCUCGUGUUGCAUUCC